AUUUCCCUGGGGUGUUCGUCAGUUGGAUGCAAGUCCCUGAGCCGAUAAGCAAUACCUAAGGGUUAGUAUUUAAUAGCUAUUGAGCAAGCUUGGCUAGUACCGAGAAGCCUACGGUUAUUAUUGCUGAUCCGCCUUGAACCAGCUGGUUCAAGGGCCACACAUCCGCAACGGCACUCUGGGGUUCCC
rnacentral:other from 1 species